AAUUACUUACACAAUGGGGAAGCACAUCAAGCACAAUGCCCAACUUUUCAUCUUACUUUCCAUGGUUCUUCUAAGCUGCAUGGUUUCUUCAGCCGUACAGGGUAAUGAACAAUUAUAAAUAAUUAUUUCAUGAAAUUUUAGUGUUCAUCCUUAUGUUUAAAGAUUGUUUCGUCAACCUUGAGUACUCACCCCUUGGAAAGAUCUGGAGUGUCUACAUGUUCAUAUGCAAAAUGAAAUUACCUUCAUGUUGAGAUGAUAUAAAUUUAUUUGAUUUUCACUUCAGGACAGAGCAUUGACGACAAGGGGAGCAGCACAACGGCUAUACGGCCUAACGAUGACCCCGACUGUGUGAGAGAGACGAAGUUGAAGUGGCCGCGGAAACGACAGUAUUGCUGCAACUAUUUUGCCUAUACUGGUCCAUGCUACGAUGACUAUACUAUCUGCAAAGCCCAUUGCCCGUGAUUCAACACAAUUCCCAUGAAUAGUUUUCAUGUAAUAAGGAAGAGAUGAUAUGCAAUAAGUUUUCCUAUCAAUAUUUACUUUUCCAAUUGCUCAAAUGAAUAAAGAUAUGAUUUCCUAAAUUAUUAUGGUGCUUGUACUUAUCCCUAUCAACUGUUUUAUCAAGAAAUACAAUUUUUGUG
rnacentral:lncRNA from 1 species